rnacentral:misc_RNA from 1 species
AAUCAACACGUUUUCUUGUGCACGACCACAUGCCUGUACUGGUGAAGGAAACGAGCGAGGAGCACAAUCAAAGCACUCACGCGAACAGCAGAUCAUAACCUCUCAUUGCCGUUGGCCUCCUCGGUGUUGGCACGGGGCCUGACGCAGCGCAAUUUCUCGCGUUCUGCUCUCUCUCUCGUCUCUCUCUCUCUCACACGCUCGCUUCUCUUGCCUUCCUCAGGUGCAGGUGAGGGCUGUUCGUGUAGCCAAGCGGCAACGCGAAAGAAGGCUGCAUAUGCUCAGGUGUGUGCGGCCGACUGGUGAAAGCCACACGGGGAGCUCGCACACACCAAGGCAGAGAGAGGAAGGGGUCGUUGGCGACUGUCGCAGGAGCAGCAGCCCAGGACAACAUGUCCACGCUCUCCUACCAGCGGCAGUACCAGCAGAUCCUGGCGGAUCUGGCCGAGGUACAGCGCGAGGAUGUGUACGUGAGCGCCCUGCGCGUCCCUAUGGACGCCAAAGCACGGCAUGCGUACUACGCGCAGUACUGGCUCUCCCUCUACGUGCGGUACGUGCGGCUGGCGCGGCAGAUUGCCGUCAUCCAUGACACGGAGCUUCAGCCACAGCGCCGCGGUGAUGUGCGCACACUACUGGACAGCUGUCUUGGACGCAUGCUCGAGGCGCGUCAUAAUAUUGUUGAGCACUGCGGCGACUAUGUGGCGCUGGACGACACGCUCGAGGAGAUGAGGCUGUCCCCGGAGGAUCUGGAGCCGCCGCUGCCAACGUACCUGCUUGAGGACCGCCACGAGGUUCUGCUGCAGGAGCGGGCGUACGUCUUGUCUCUGCAGCAGCACUACAAGGAAACGGCGCCUGGGGUGGCCCCGGUGGCGCUCGCGGCAGCCGCGCACAGCGCGGCGCUUUUCGCUGAGGACCCCACUAAAGCUCUGCCCCCGUUUCCCACCACUGCGGAGAAGUCAGCGGCGACGGCAGAUGGCGACACGGCGCCGAUGUCUGCCGAGGAGGCUGUACGCAUCCUGCAACUCGCUGAGCGCGGUCGUCAAGCUCGGCAGCGGGCAAAGAUCCAGCUGCAGCUCUUCCGUCAGCAGCAGUACGCCGCCUCGCAUGGGGCAGAGCUGCAGUCUCUGACGGGCAAGGAUCGUGCGGCGACCAUCGUACAGAAGGUGGCUCUCGGCUACCUUCAGCAGAAGCGUGCCAAGGAGCGGUACCAACAGGAGCAGGAGCUUCUGGGGAUGACCAGCACGGCGGCCGUUCGCGGUAACGCGGCAAGAGUUGCCGCCAGCAUCCACCACGACGAUCGCAAGGCGCGGCAGCGAGUGAACCAGGCGGAGCUGCUGCAGAAGAAGCUUGAGAUGAACCGCCAGUUGAAAAGCCAGGAAGGGCCCAAGACGCUUGAGGUGAUGCUCGACGAAGUGCUGAUGCACAUGGCCUACGCACGCCUCGAUGGGAAGGCUAAGAACGGCAUUAUGGACGUUCCCACAGUGGAGGACGGAGGCACAUUGACACUGCUCGGCCGCAGCACUCGCAAGGCUGGAUCGGCUGGCGCGUCUGUUGGAUCUGAGGCAAGCGGCAGUGAGAAGGCAAGCCUUAACGGGACGGGCUACAGUAGCCGCUCGGUAUCUCGUGUGUCCGAAAGUGUCGAAGCCACCAAUGCUACUGCACAGGGCGGCCCACGUAAAUCCUUUCGCCGCCCAGGCAAUGGCGAUGCCGCCGCUUCUGCCUCGACAGCCGCACCGCCCAGCGUCUUCCUCGAUCACGUCUCCGCCACAACCGAGCGGCACAACACGCUCUGGAAGGAGCAGUUCCGCCGCACCCGCGUGGAGAAGGGCGACCUGGAUCAGCCCUAUGACGAGACUUUGCUGAGGCGGGAGCUGCUGGAUGGCCCCCGCGGCAUUAUGCAGGAUCUGCGCCAGUGCGUCGACCAGCUCGUGAUGAUGGAGGUGAACAACCUCAAGGAACGUCUCGAGGCGGAGAAGAACGCUGGCAAGAGGAAGAAGGGCGGCCGAAAGGGUAAGAAGGCGAAGGCCGCCAAAAAGCCGAAGCUGCGCGACCCGACCAAGGGCGAAGAUUUGGAGUCCUACCUCAACACCACCGUCUACGAGAACAAGCUGCAGCUGCCGCCGCCGGAUGUGCGGCUUUCGUCCUUCGUCGGCCCCCUUGGCGUCUCGGCCGGGCCGCUGGAUCGCCUGCUGCGCACGCAGACCGUUGAUAAGGAGAUCGAGAAGAAGUGGAAGCGUGUGCUGCGCGGGUGGAACGACGACGUGCAACACGCGAUCGGGAUGCCGAAGGAGAAGAUGGAGACGCUCUUCAAAGCGUACGCGCAGCCGUCCUCGUGGCUGAAGGACCCGUCUGCCGCCGAGGUGCGCGCCGCCGUCACCGACUACGCGGUGCUGCCUCUGGGGUCGCAGGUGGUGCACGACUUGGCGCCGCACCCGACAGGGCUGUUGCUCUACGGUGCACCCGGCUCUGGAAAGACCCUCCUCGCCUAUGCCAUCGCCAACGAGAGUGGUGCUCGCUUCUUCAAUCUGUCGCCUGCUAACUUCCUCACCACCAAGGGUAUUGCCAAGAUGGUGCAGGUCGUCUUCUACACGGCACGCAUGAAGGGGCCAUCGGUGAUUUACAUAGACCGCAUCGAGAAGAUCUUUCCUGGGAAGGGCGGCAAGCGAGGGAAGAAGAAGGACGGCGAGCUGACGCGUGGAAAGAAGCUGAAGAAGGAGCUGCUCAAGGGCAUCGCAAGUCUGCAGCCAACAGAUCGUGUUUUGGUAGUGGCCACGUCGACGGAGCCGUGGUGUGCCGACACCGCCGCCCUGUGCAACAUCUUUCAGCGAGCCGUGCACCUCGCCGCCCCCGACUUUGCGACCCGUGAGGCGCUGCUGAAAACCUUCAUCAAGGCGCGGCUGGAUACGGUUCACUCCACCGCCGUCACCCCUGCAGCAGAGGCAUCCAUCGCGGAAGCCAUCCGCCACGUCUCCCUGCUCACGGAUGGCCUCUCCGCUGGCCAGCUGCGCGACUGCGUCACGCAGACGCUCACCGCCCACCGGAUGGAGCGGCUGGCCCAUAACCCGAUCGCAGCUGAGGAGUUUGUCCCUGCGCUGGCCGUCACGACUGGACUGAACGCUGCCCAGGUGCAGCGUUACCAUGACUUCCAAGCGUCGCUGCCGGUGAUGAUGCGGCGCGCCAACGCCGUUGAGGACUUUAAGCCAUCCGAGGAUGAGGCGAAGCACCGCUAAUCGCUGCCAACAGAGCGAAGAAAAGGGAAAGCAGCAACAUCGUCUACAGUGGUGGUGUGGGGGUGGGUGGAGGGAAUGCAGUUUGCACGUCCGCGCAUGGUUGUGGCGUGUGUGUGUGUGUGUGUGUGCGUGUUUGCCUCUCUCUCUCGCUGAGGAUGGCGUGGGUGACAUGUAUAUUAGAUGACCUGCGCGGCGGGGACUUCUUUUUUUGGGGGAGGGGGAGGGGUCUUGGCGCUCUUCCCUGCCCUUAUGCCUUGGUGCACCUGUGCAGGCAGGCUGGCAGGUGUAUGCGCAUCGGUGUAUGUAAACGUGACCCACUGAUGUGUGUCUCUGUCAUGUAGAGCCACG